rnacentral:rRNA from 1 species
ACGAAUCCAGGCCCUACGGGGCGCAGCAGUUACGAAAACUUGGCAAUGCGGGAAACCGUGACCAGGGAACUCCAAGUGAGUCUCUUUUAGGGGCUCUUUUCAUGACUCUAAAACGGUCUUGGAAUAAGGGGUGGGUAAGGACGGUGCCAGCCGCCGCGGUAAUACCGGCGCCUCAAGUGGUCGUCGCUUUUAUUGGGCCUAAAACGUCCGUAGCCGGUUUGGUACAUUCGUGGGUAAAUCAACUCGCUCAACGAGUUGAAUUCUGCGAGGACGGCCAGACUAGGGACCGGGAGAGGUGUGGGGAACUCUCAGGGUAGGGGUAAAAUCCUGUCAUCCUGAGAGGACCACCUGUUGCGAAGGCGCCACACUAGAACGGAUCCGACGGUCAGGGACGAAGCCUAGGGGCGCGAACCGGAUUAGAUACCCGGGUAGUCCUAGGUGUAAACGCUGUGGACUUGGUGUUGGGGAAGACUAGAGCUUUCCCAGUGCCGUAGCGAAGGUGUUGAGUCCACUGCCUGGGGAGUACGGUCGCAAGGCUGAAACUUAAAGGAAUUGGCGGGGGAGCACUGCAACCGGAGGAUUGUGCGGUUUAAUUGGAUUC